GACGAACGCUGGCGGCGUGCUUAACACAUGCAAGUCGAACGGAAAGGCCCUGCUUUUGUGGGGUGCUCGAGUGGCGAACGGGUGAGUAACACGUGAGUAACCUGCCCUUGACUUUGGGAUAACUUCAGGAAACUGGGGCUAAUACCGGAUAGGAGCUCCUGCUGCAUGGUGGGGGUUGGAAAGUUUCGGCGGUUGGGGAUGGACUCGCGGCUUAUCAGCGUGUUGGUGGGGUAGUGGCUUACCAAGGCUUUGACGGGUAGCCGGCCUGAGAGGGUGACCGGCCACAUUGGGACUGAGAUAAGGCCCAGACUCCUACGGGAGGCAGCAGUGGGGAAUAGUGCACAAUGGGCGGAAGCCUGAUGCAGCAACGCCGCGUGCGGGAUGACGGCCUUCGGGUUGUAAACCGCUUUCGCCUGUGACGAAGCGUGAGUGACGGUAAUGGGUAAAGAAGCACCGGCUAACUACGUG
rnacentral:rRNA from 1 species